rnacentral:rRNA from 1 species
ACCCGCACAAGCGGUGGAUGAUGUGGUUUAAUUCGAUGCAACGCGAAAACCUUACCCACCUUUGACAUGUACGGAACCCUUUAGAGAUAGAGGGGUGCUCGAAAGAGAGCCGUAACACAGGUGCUGCAUGGCUGUCGUCAGCUCGUGUCGUGAGAUGUUGGGUUAAGUCCCGCAACGAGCGCAACCCUUGUCAUUAGUUGCUACAUUCAGUUGGGCACUCUAAUGAGACUGCCGGUGACAAGCCGGAGGAAGGUGGGAUGACGUCAAGUCCUCAUGGCCCUUAUGGGUAGAGCUUCACACGUCAUACAAUGGUCGGUACAGAGGGUUGCCAAGCCGCGAGGCGGAGCCAAUCCCACAAAGCCGAUCGUAGUCCGGAUUGUUCUCUGCAACUCGAGAGCAUGAAGUCGGAAUCGCUAGUAAUCGCAGGUCAGCAUACUGCGGUGAAUACGUUCCCGGGUCUU